UGGAAAAUAAUUCAACAGAUCUUAUGGAUCUGCAUAAUAAUCUCAAGCAUCAGAUUUAUGUCCAUCGCGUGCAGAGAGGGCAGAGAUAUGACUUAUCAACAUAGUAAUUAUUUCUGCACUGGCAUGAAUUCUGUUUUUCUUGCGUUUCUUCUCUCGUUAUUUCUGUCUAGCUUUUGUUUAAAGGAACUUGCGUGACAUUGAGCAGAGAGAGGAGGAGGAAGAAAAAUCCCCUUUUGGCAAGAUGCUGCUACAUGCUGAAUUUUCCCUGCUGCUAGUAAUAUCUGAAGUUCUUCCUGCCCUCAUAGUAUUGUUUCAGGGAAGAAUUUGUAUAAUUUCCUCUGGACUUCUGGUUGUCAUCAUUAAUAUAUCAUUCUUUUAUGGUGGUUUAUGGUACUGUCAUGCGCUGGGAUUAUGAGUGUGGUACCACACCAACAGCCUGUAAGAACAAUGCUAGGUGAAACUGUUGAAAACAUGCAGCCUGUCUCUACUGUGGAGUCGCCGGCU